rnacentral:rRNA from 2 species
UGCCCUUAACUCUGGGAUAAGCCUGGGAAACUGGGUCUAAUACCGGAUAGGAGCGUCCACCGCAUGGUGGGUGUUGGAAAGAUUUAUCGGUUUUGGAUGGACUCGCGGCCUAUCAGCUUGUUGGUGAGGUAAUGGCUCACCAAGGCGACGACGGGUAGCCGGCCUGAGAGGGUGACCGGCCACACUGGGACUGAGACACGGCCCAGACUCCUACGGGAGGCAGCAGUGGGGAAUAUUGCACAAUGGGCGCAAGCCUGAUGCAGCGACGCCGCGUGAGGGAUGACGGCCUUCGGGUUGUAAACCUCUUUCAGUAGGGAAGAAGCGAAAGUGACGGUACCUGCAGAAGAAGCACCGGCUAACUACGUGCCAGCAGCCGCGGUAAUACGUAGGGUGCGAGCGUUAUCCGGAAUUAUUGGGCGUAAAGAGCUCGUAGGCGGUUUGUCGCGUCUGUCGUGAAAGUCCGGGGCUUAACCCCGGAUCUGCGGUGGGUACGGGCAGACUAGAGUGCAGUAGGGGAGACUGGAAUUCCUGGUGUAGCGGUGGAAUGCGCAGAUAUCAGGAGGAACACCGAUGGCGAAGGCAGGUCUCUGGGCUGUAACUGACGCUGAGGAGCGAAAGCAUGGGGAGCGAACAGGAUUAGAUACCCUGGUAGUCCAUGCCGUAAACGUUGGGCACUAGGUGUGGGGACCAUUCCACGGUUUCCGCGCCGCAGCUAACGCAUUAAGUGCCCCGCCUGGGGAGUACGGCCGCAAGGCUAAAACUCAAAGGAAUUGACGGGGGCCCGCACAAGCGGCGGAGCAUGCGGAUUAAUUCGAUGCAACGCGAAGAACCUUACCAAGGCUUGACAUGUUCUCGAUCGCCGUAGAGAUACGGUUUCCCCUUUGGGGCGGGUUCACAGGUGGUGCAUGGUUGUCGUCAGCUCGUGUCGUGAGAUGUUGGGUUAAGUCCCGCAACGAGCGCAACCCUCGUUCCAUGUUGCCAGCACGUCGUGGUGGGGACUCAUGGGAGACUGCCGGGGUCAACUCGGAGGAAGGUGAGGACGACGUCAAAUCAUCAUGCCCCUUAUGUCUUGGGCUUCACGCAUGCUACAAUGGCCGGUACAAUGGGUUGCGAUACUGUGAGGUGGAGCUAAUCCCAAAAAGCCGGUNUCAGUUCGGAUUGGGGUCUGCAACUCGACCCCAUGAAGUCGGAGUCGCUAGUAAUCGCAGAUCAGCAACGCUGCGGUGAAUACGUUCCCGGGCCUUGUACACACCGCCCGUC